rnacentral:rRNA from 1 species
AGAGUUUGAUCCUGGCUCAGGAUGAACGCUGGCAGCGUGGAUAAGGCAUGCAAGUCGAGCGGGUUUAGACCCGCGGCAAACGGGUUAGUAAUGCGUAGGAAACCUACCUGGAAGUGGGGCAUAAUUCGCCGAAAGGCGAAAUAAUUCCCCAUGUGCUAGCACAUGUUGUUUGUUCUCAACUUUUUCCGAGAAUAAGCAUCAUGUGCUAGGAAAGAUUUAUCGCUUUCAGAUGGUCCUGCGUCCUAUCAGCUUGUAGGUGGGGUAAUAGCCCACCUAGGCUACGACGGGUAGGGGGUGUGAGAGCAUGACCCCCAACAUUGGAACUGCGACACUGUCCAAACACCUACGGGUGGCUGCAGUCGAGAAUCUUCGGCAAUGGGCGAAAGCCUGACCGAGCGACGCUGCGUGCAGGAAGAAGGCCUUCGGGUUGUAAACUGCUGUCGUGUGGGAAGAACUUUGACGGUACCACACAAGAAAGAGGCACCUAACUCUGUGCCAGCAGGUGCGGUAAUACAGAGGCCUCGAGCGUUAUCCGGAAUUAUUGGGCGUAAAGCGUCUGUAGGCGGGAAAGUGCGUCAACUGUUAAAUCCUAGGGCUCAACCCUAUGGGCUGCAGUUGAUACGGCUUUUCUAGAGGCAGGGAGAGGUAAGCGGAACUUCUGGUGGAGCGGUGAAAUGCGUUGAUAUCAGAGGGAACACCAAUUGCGAAGGCAGCUUACUGGUCCUGUCCUGACGCUGAGAGACGAAAGCGUGGGGAGUGAAUGGGAUUAGAUACCCCAGUAAUCCACGCCGUAAACGAUGCCGACUAGGCAUUGGGAGUAUCGACCCUCUCAGUGUCGAAGCUAACGCGUUAAGUCGGCCGCCUGGGUAGUACGAGCGCAAGCUUAAAACUCAAAGGAAUAGACGGGAGCCCGCACAAGCGGUGGAGCGUGUGGUUUAAUUCGAUGCUAAGCGAGGAACCUUACCAGGGCUUGAAAUUGAGCUGCUAACCCCCAGAAACGGGGGCUCCUUCGAGGGUGCUCAACAGGCGCUGCAUGGUUGCCGUCAGCUCGUGCCGUGAGGUGUUCCCUUUAGUGGGGUAACGAGCGCAACCCUCGUCGUAUGUUGCUUUUCAUGCGAGACUGCCGUGGCUAACACGGAGGAAGGUGGGGAUGACGUCAAAUCAGCAUGGCCCUCUGACGCCCUGGGCGACACACGCGCUACAAUGGCUGGGACAACGAGCUUUGUGCUAACCCGUGAGGGGGAGCGAAUCUUUAAACCCAGUCUCAGUUCGAAUUGGAGUCUGCAACUCGACUCCAUGAAGUUGGAAUCGCUAGUAACCGCAGAUCAGCCACGCUGCGGUGAAUACGUUCUCGGGCUUUGUACUCACCGCCCGUCAACUCAGAAAAGCUGACAGUACCCGAAGAACCGGCAUUCGUCGGUGCCACGGUAAGGUCAGUGAUUAGGAGUAAGUCGUAACAAGGUA